AGCAUGAACAGGGAGAAUAGAGGGGCUGACAGGGCUGAGCGCACUGACCCCCCAGAAUAUGCCACAUAUAUGUCAUCUCAUGAUUUUGUACAGAGUGAGGGAUUCAACAAGUCUAGAGAGGAGAGAGAAAGUGGUGAGAGGCAGAGAAAGGGAGACAGACAGAAAGAAGAAGUUCACCGCGCAGUGAGAGCAGAGAGGGUGGGGGCCGAGAGUUCACCCACAGUUCGCUGCUCAGACAGAGUUGAAAAGGUGGGGGCCAAGAGUCCACACACACUUCCCUGCUCCAACAGAGCAGAGAGGGGGGGGCUAGGCCCAAAGACACACACACACGUCCGGUUCAGACUAUCACAGACAACACAUCAAGACAUGCAGGGCUAUCCAUUCUUCAGUAUCCCAAGGAAUUGUAUGAUCAGGGGCAACCAAUGUAUACCCCACCUAUAUACACUUCUACCCCAGCAGUGAGGGAUAGGAAAGGAGAUCUAGAUGAAGUUACUAUAACAGGAAAAAGACUAGCGGCUGGUGAUGUGAUGAGAGGACAGAGAAGGCAACACUGGGAACCAGAAGAUACGGACACAGAAGAGAGUAGUGAGGAGGAAUAUGAAAUGAGGAAACUCCCAGUGAAGCUAAAUCAAGCACACAUGCAUCAGAUGAGAACAGGUAGAAGCUUGUACAAAAGGUACAAAGGUGAAGAUGAACCCAUGUGUGUCACACAAGUUCCACAGGUUCCAACAGGGAUGUAUCCUUUAAUAGCAACAGGCCAGAACCAGAGAAAAUAUGUGCCAUGGGGUAGGACAGAUCUUGAGGCACUAAUCAAACGCUUGCCACCAAUAGCCAAUGGUGCAGCUUCCUGGAUCACCACAUUUGAGAGAGAGACUUGUCAGGAUCAGUUAGCUCUGGCAGACAUACGCACAAUACUGAUAAAAGUCCACGCGGAUAGGGCUCUAUUGGAGGCAGAGAGAGUAGCCAAGAGUGAGGGGAGACCUGAGGACGAACAUUUUAAUGCAUAUCGUAACCGGAUAUGGGGGUCCCUGAGACGAAGCUAUCCGACAGCCUAUACGGUUGACGCAUUAACCAGCCUGCAGAUAAAAGAGAGUGAGAACACCCAUGAGUACCUGGUGAGGGCGUGGGAGAUGUGGGAAAAAGGAACCGGGGAAAGACCAGACAAUUCAGCACUGGCACAAAUACAUUUCAGGAAAGGGGUGGUAGAAGGGCUGCCACAACCAGUUCAAAAUAAAUUAAAAGACACAGUGGGACUGGAUGUGUUGCCACAGAAUGUAUGGGUGCAACACGUGGAGCAUGGAUUGAAGCGUCAUAGGAAGGCAGAGAAAGAUAAGAAAGAGAGCCAGGGAAACAAAACAGGUGACAAGCUUGUGGAACAACUCACAAAAGCGGUGGAACAAGCAACUAUCAAGGCAGCAGCGCAGGCCAUUCUGGCACCAGCACCAAGUGUGAUGGCUCCCGCUUUAACACCCGCGGCCCCACCACCACUCAGUAACAAACCACCAGUGCAAUAUGCAUCCCAGCCAAUGCAAUCAUACCCACGAAGAGAUGUAAGUCAGAUCCGAUGCUAUACUUGUGGGAUCUAUGGGCAUUAUGCACGGCAGUGUGGCGCAGUGGCGCCUUCCUACCCACGCAACCCACAAUAUGGGGAACAGGGGCCAGCACAUGGGCCACCUAUGCCACAGAACCGUGGAAGAGGUAGCAAUGGAGGAGGGUAUAGGGCAUCACAAGGAGGCAGAGGCCGAGGGAACCAGAGUAGAGGGGGAUGGCAACAG
rnacentral:lncRNA from 1 species